rnacentral:rRNA from 1 species
AAGUCGAGCGGAUGAGUGGAGCUUGCUCCAUGAUUCAGCGGCGGACGGGUGAGUAAUGCCUAGGAAUCUGCCUGGUAGUGGGGGACAACGUUUCGAAAGGAACGCUAAUACCGCAUACGUCCUACGGGAGAAAGUGGGGGAUCUUCGGACCUCACGCUAUCAGAUGAGCCUAGGUCGGAUUAGCUAGUUGGUGAGGUAAAGGCUCACCAAGGCGACGAUCCGUAACUGGUCUGAGAGGAUGAUCAGUCACACUGGAACUGAGACACGGUCCAGACUCCUACGGGAGGCAGCAGUGGGGAAUAUUGGACAAUGGGCGAAAGCCUGAUCCAUCCAUU